ACAGGGGUGCCUUGAGGCUGAGAUGCGUAUGCGAUCCCUUAUGACCUGAACUAGGUAAUGCUAGCGUAGGGAGUCUUAUAUGUU
rnacentral:ncRNA from 1 species